GAGAGAAUACGGAAUACUCAGACUGAGGUC
rnacentral:piRNA from 1 species